AGAGUUUGAUCAUGGCUCAGAAUGAACGCUGGCGGCGUGCCUAACACAUGCAAGUCGAACGAGAAACUCCGGGCUUGCUCGGAGGAGUAAAGUGGCGCACGGGUGAGUAGCGCGUGGGUAACCUGCCCCAGAAUCUGGGAUAACAUCGCGAAAGCGUUGCUAAUACCGGAUAUCGUCCUUUAAACUGUGGUUUUUGGGAUGAAAGAUGACCCCUCCAUGGAAGUUGUCGUUCAGGGAGGGGCCCGCGUACCAUUAGCUUGUUGGUAGGGUAAUGGCCUACCAAGGCUGCGAUGGUUAGCUGGUCUGAGAGGAUGAUCAGCCACACUGGAACUGAAACACGGUCCAGACUCCUACGGGAGGCAGCAGUGAGGAAUUUUGCGCAAUGGGGGAAACCCUGACGCAGCAACGCCGUGUGAGUGAAGAAGGCCUUCGGGUCGUAAAGCUCUGUCAAGGGGGAAAAACUCCUUUCGAUCAAUAGUCAUUAAGGACUGAUGGUACCCCUAGAGGAAGCACCGGCUAACUCCGUGCCAGCAGCCGCGGUAAUACGGAGGGUGCAAGCGUUGUUCGGAAUUACUGGGCGUAAAGAGCGUGUAGGCGGUUUGGCAAGUCAGAUGUGAAAGCCCUGGGCUCAACCCAGGAAGUGCAUUUGAAACUGCCAUCCUAGAGUAUGGGAGAGGAGAGUGGAAUUCCCAGUGUAGAGGUGAAAUUCGUAGAUAUUGGGAGGAACACCCGUGGCGAAGGCGACUCUCUGGACCAAUACUGACGCUGAGACGCGAAAGCGUGGGGAGCAAACAGGAUUAGAUACCCUGGUAGUCCACGCCGUAAACGAUGAGAACUAGGUGUAGCGGGUAUUGACCCCUGCUGUGCCGUAGCUAACGCAUUAAGUUCUCCGCCUGGGGAGUACGGUCGCAAGGCUAAACUCAAAGGAUUGACGGGGGCCGCACAAGCGGUGGAGCAUGUG
rnacentral:rRNA from 1 species